GGUAGGGAUACCCGCUGAACUUAA
rnacentral:rRNA from 2 species